rnacentral:rRNA from 1 species
CCUACGGGAGGCAGCAGUAAGGAAUAUUGGUCAAUGGAGGCAACUCUGAACCAGCCAUGCCGCGUGCAGGAAGAAGGCCCUAUGGGUCGUAAACUGCUUUUGUACCAGAGAAAACCACAGUACGUGUACUGUGUUGAUAGUAUGGUAAGAAUAAGCAUCGGCUAACUUCGUGCCAGCAGCCGCGGUAAGACGAAGGAUGCAAGCGUUAUCCGGAUUCAUUGGGUUUAAAGGGUGCGUAGGCGGACUGAUAAGUCAGUGGUGAAAUCUCUCAGCUUAACUGAGAAACUGCCAUUGAUACUGUUAGUCUAGAGUAUAGAUGACGUUGGCGGAAUAUGACAUGUAGUGGUGAAAUACUUAGAUAUGUCAUAGAACACCGAUUGCGAAGGCAGCUAACGAAACUAUAACUGACGCUGAGGCACGAAAGUGCGGGGAUCAAACAGGAUUAGAUACCCUGGUAGUCCGCACCGUAAACGAUGAUUACUCGUUGUUGGCAAAUUAUGACCGUCAGCGACCAAGCGAAGCGANAAGUAAUCCACCGACGGUAGGUACGCCGGCCGACGGUACGAACGUACGAAGAAGUAGUAGACGCGAGAGAGCGACGGACGACGACGACGGAGGGAGGAG